UACGGGGGGGGUAAGCGUUGUUCGGAAUUACUGGGCGUAAAGGGCUCGUAGGCGGCCAACUAAGUCAGACGUGAAAUCCCUCAGCUUAACUGGGGAACUGCGUCUGAUACUGGAUGGCUUGGAUUCGGGAGAGGAAUGCGGAAUUCCAGGUGUAGCGGUGAAAUGCGUAGAUAUCGGGAGGAACACCCGUAGCGAAGGCGGUUCUCUGGGCCAAUACUGACGCUGAGGAGCGAAAGCGUGGGGAGCAAACAGG
rnacentral:rRNA from 1 species